rnacentral:rRNA from 1 species
AUUGAACGCUGGCGCCAUGCCUAACACAUGCAAGUCGAACGGUAACAGGAAACAGCUUGCUGUUUCGCUGACGAGUGGCGGACGGGUGAGUAAUGUCUGGGAAACUGCCUGAUGGAGGGGGAUAACUACUGGAAACGGUAGCUAAUACCGCAUAACGUCGCAAGACCAAAGAGGGGGACCUUCGGGCCUCUUGCCAUCGGAUGUGCCCAGAUGGGAUUAGCUAGUAGGUGGGGUAACGGCUCACCUAGGCGACGAUCCCUAGCUGGUCUGAGAGGAUGACCAGCCGCACUGGAACUGAGACACGGUCCAGACUCCUACGGGAGGCAGCAGUGGGGAAUAUUGCACAAUGGGCGCAAGCCUGAUGCAGCCAUGCCGCGUGUAUGAAGAAGGCCUUCGGGUUGUAAAGUACUUUCAGCGGGGAGGAAGGGAGUAAAGUUAAUACCUUUGCUCAUUGACGUUACCCGCAGAAGAAGCACCGGCUAACUCCGUGCCAGCAGCCGCGGUAAUACGGAGGGUGCAAGCGUUAAUCGGAAUUACUGGGCGUAAAGCGCACGCAGGCGGUUUGUUAAGUCAGAUGUGAAAUCCCCGGGCUCAACCUGGGAACUGCAUCUGAUACUGGCAAGCUUGAGUCUCGUAGAGGGGGGUAGAAUUCCAGGUGUAGCGGUGAAAUGCGUAGAGAUCUGGAGGAAUACCGGUGGCGAAGGCGGCCCCCUGGACGAAGACUGACGCUCAGGUGCGAAAGCGUGNGGAGCAAACAGG